UCCGAUUCAGAUUUGUAUCCGUUUGGUUAAGUUUCAAAAAUGCAUCGAUUUUCGAUACAAUUUUGUAUAUCUUCUUAGGUUUGUAUCGAACAUAGGAGAAAAUAUUGCUUCUAUGGUUGGUUGAAGUAAAUAGGUUUUGAGUUUUUCCAAAACCCUCGAAAGAGAGAGAGAGAGAGAACAGCGAGUAACUACAUAGAUAUUUUUUUCGAGAUAGAGGAGAACGGCGAGUGACUCUCAACUGCGAGCAACUGCGUAGAAACUGAGUAGAACGACUCUGAACUGCCUUCGUUUUCACAGAGGUCGUGUUCGAUCAAUUUUUCCAUUUGUUGGAUUUUCUGUUUUAAGAGAGAGUCUUAACCUCUUCGUUUCUAGGUAAUGUUCCAUCUAUCUUGCUAUCUACUUCCAUUUUUGGAUACUAGAGUUAUUACUUGUCUGUUGAUUUAUUUUUGAUUGAUUAAGUGCAUUGGAACUUUUUGAUUUCACCGCAUUCUAGAGUUAUUGCUUCUCUCAUCCUUCAUUUUUCUUUGCUUCUUCAAAUGUACCUUAUCACUCAUUCCCUUCUGUUAAGUCAAAAUCUCCAGACCGAAGCCUAAGAUAAUUCAGUGACUAAAAGGAUUACAUAAUCCAAUUAAGACUCAAGUGAUUCUGCAUACUUGUAACACAUAUGUUUGAGAUUUCUAGCACAAAGGGCAAAAUGUUGGUUAACAUGGGCUAAGUCUGAAGGGCCAUUCAAAGGCUAAGCAACAACUCUUGUUAGCAGACAAAAAGCCAUGUGGAUCACCUCUUACAAUUGAAGACCUCAAUGCCAUGCCAUAUGCUUCUAAGCAUUUGGGAUUUUCCCUUUUGCUGUCUUUGGUGGCAGGUCUGAUCCUCCUAGGGAGGUUAUGAGGCUUUUCUACUAUUCUUUCUUCUCACAAAAGAAAAAAAAGAGGAAAGAUUCUUUGGAUGAGGGCAGCUUUCCUAUGCUCAAUAUGGGAAGAACGGAACAAUAGGAUUUUUAAAGACAAAUCUCAGUCCAAAUGGAUCCUUAUGGAAAUCAUAUCCACGGAAGUUGCUCAUUAGAUGAAGUCUAUGACAGUUGAAGUUCCAACCUCCCGUCUUGUGAUUAUUUACGGCAUCUAUGCUUUGAGUGAAAAGUUGCGACCUCUUCUGGACCUUCUGGUGGAGUUCACUUUGACCGUGUAAAACGGGUUUUACGUGACAUACAACAUGCUGGACAAGAACCGAAAGAAAUAAUCCAUCGAAUCUUUGAAAUGGUUCUUUCACUUGCCCCAUGUUAGAUGUUUUUCUUUAGAAAGUUUUGAUUGUGUGAUAAUGGUCACACAAUGUCUUUUUAGAUGUUUUCUUUAGAUGUUAGAUGUUUUCCAAGAGGGUCUCUGAAAUUCUAUGCUAGCCUAGCUGCUUUGAGAAAAUACUUCAAUGUGGCUACACUACAUGAUAAUGGUCAUAGUGAAGCUGAAAACCUGAGGGAAAAGUUUUAUGAUAAAGUGGUUGAUGAAGGAGACAAUCAUAAAUAUUUUGACAAAAAAUCAAUAUUUUGAUAUAGAUAGCUCAAUAAGCAGUGGCAAGGAGAAAGGUGAUGCAGAGAACGAUGAUAGAGUCAUGGUUGGUGCUGUUACAACAGCUCUGGGUGCAUCUGCUUUUUUGGUACACCAGCAGGUAAAGUUAUCAAAACCCUUCUCAUCCUCUACCAUAGCUUUCAUAUUCUCAUUGUUGGUUCUUCUGUUCUCUUAUGUGAUUUCUUUUAUAUGUCAGGAAGAGGUUCAUCCAUACAAUUUCCACAAAUUACUGUUAGUAGUAAUUAAUCAAUUGCUAUAAAUAUCAUCCCAGAUAUGAUCUUAAAAUUCGAUUUUCUUUGUAUAUCUCUAUAUGCAGAUGGUUUAAUUGGCACAUGGAAAUUGGGAAAUGAUCCCAGAUAUGAUCCAUCUCUUGUCCACAGGCCAAUUGGAUUCUUUUAUUUCAAGACUUACUUUGAUGUAUGCAGGAUGGUUUGUCACUAUUUUUUUUUUGUUCCUUUAUGUGGCAGGAUGCCCGGGCAGCUAAAUGCCUUUUAGAAGCUCCAUAGUUCCUAUUCAAAAAGAGUAGUUGUCGUUGGCGAGAAGAGGAGAGAGAAACUGGCUUACUUGGUAGAAGAGACCGUUGUAUUUACCAAGUUGCCCGUUGUAUGCCCGGAUAUCUUGUUAUUUUUUAUAUUUGUUUAAUGGUGGGAGUAGCUGUAACACCAUAUGGUAGCAAGAAACAGUUGUAUUUGCAUUGAUGGAAAUGUCAAACAUCCACAAAAAUUGUAUUCUUAUUUGCAUCUUUCAAAACAAAUGAGCUGAGUGCAAAGUGGGUGUGUAAAUCUUGAACCACUUUGCACUCACAUGAACCAAACAUUUUUGUUUUGCACUCUAUAAAUUUGUAUUCGUACUCCAACCAAACGGAGCCUUAUCAAUAACAUUCAUCCCAAAAUU